rnacentral:rRNA from 1 species
UAAUACGGAAGGGGCAAGCGUUGUUCGGAAUCAUUGGGCGUAAAGGGCGCGUAGGUGGUCGUGUAUGUCUCCCGUGAAAGCAGACGGCUCAACCGUCUUCCGUCGGGAGAAACUGCAGGACUUGAGGCUGGGAGGGGCUGGUGGAAUUCCCCGUGUAGCGGUGAAAUGCGUAGAGAUGGGGGAGAACACUCGUGGCGAAGGCGGCCAGCUAGACCAGCACUGACACUGAGGCGCGAUAGCGUGGGGAGCAAACAGGAUUAGAUACCCUGGUAGUCCACGCUGUAAACGAUGGGCACUAGGUGCCGGCGGUCUUGAUCCCGUCGGUGCCGGCGCUAACGCAGUAAGUGCCCCGCCUGGGGAGUACGGUCGCAAGGCUG